GGGCGGAGUUGGUCUACGCUA
rnacentral:siRNA from 1 species